rnacentral:rRNA from 1 species
UACGUAGGGGGCAAGCGUUGUCCGGAAUCAUUGGGCGUAAAGAGCGUGUAGGCGGCUUGGUAAGUCCGCUGUGAAAGUCCAGGGCUCAACCCUGGAAUGCCGGUGGAAACUGUCAAGCUUGAGUCCGGAAGAGGCGAGUGGAAUUCCUGGUGUAGCGGUGGAAUGCGCAGAUAUCAGGAGGAACACCAAUAGCGAAGGCAGCUCGCUGGGACGUUACUGACACUAAGGCGCGAAAGCGUGGGGAGCGAACAGG